CGCCUCCGUAUCUCAGAGGCUAGAGCGUAUGGCCACGGUCAUAAGGUCGCCGGUUCGAAUCCGGCCGGACGCGG
rnacentral:tRNA from 1 species